rnacentral:rRNA from 1 species
GACGAAGGGGGCUAGCGUUGUUCGGAAUUACUGGGCGUAAAGCGAGUGUAGGUGGUUGUCCAAGUUGGAUGUGAAAGCCUUGAGCUCAACUCAAGAAAUGCAUUCAGGACUGGGCGGCUAGAGGACCGGAGAGGAUAGUGGAAUUCCCAGUGUAGUGGUGAAAUACGUAGAGAUUGGGAAGAACACCGGUGGCGAAGGCGGCGACCUGGUCCUUGACUGACGCUGAGGCGCGAAAGCGUGGGGAGCAAACAGG